rnacentral:lncRNA from 1 species
CUCUCUUUCCUUCUUACUAAGCACGAUCUUAAAAAAUUUCUAUAUCGCUUCAUCUCCUUACUCUUAAUAUUUCAGGUAAAAUUCAUAUUUAACUUUGAAAUUUAUAGGCCUCAAGAAAGUAACUCUCAAGAACAAAGACACAAAAGGGGCAACAACCAACGAGCAAACUCCUUUGGAAAACCAUGACUACCAUGGACUGAUGGUCACAGAUGUAGAAAAAACCACUAGAAAAAUUACUUCACAUUUUCAUGGUUUUUUGAUCUUUAACAAAACUUACCCCACUAAUAGAUAUGUUUAUUUAGCUGUUCUAAACAAAAAUUCUUCUCCAUCUUAUCCUAUGCUCUCUGCUUUGCCAUAAAGGGGAGAAGGGUAAAUAGGGUUUUGGGGGGUGCUUACGUUAGGAAGGAGGGGGAUAAGAAGAUGGGAAAACGGGGGACAAGGAAGGGCGAUUGGGAUCUGCUUGGGUUGGGCAAUUAUUUUACUUUUUUUAAUUAUUUUGCGCUUUACUUUUUAUGGUUAUUUUUUAAUGUUUUUAAAUAAAAAUUAAUACAUUCGCUCUUCUUUUUAGAGGGUGUAACUAUUCAUUUUUUUGACUCACCAAAAUAAAUGACACAUAAGCUCAGUCAAUGAUUAGAGGAGUCUAAGACAUGUUUUGCAACAAUGUUCUAAUAUUAGUACAGUAUGUCAAUAUCUACUCAAGAUUCCCUUAUUAUUCUGGUUGCUUACUUUUUUGAGCUUAGGAGUUGGAUGAUCUUUCUUGUUAUACAUAAUUUGAUCUCUGGCAUAUGCAUUAUAAAAUGAUCCACUUGUAUUAUUUUGUCAACAUUCUUUUUCUGUUUGCUUUUACUAAGAAUUAUAAUUUUCUUUUAUUUGAUUGAAACGUGUAUCCCGGAAAGCUGUAACAAAAUUUUAUGCAUAUGUAGUUGCAGGUAUUAUGUGUUGGCUUUGACAUUUUGGAUCUUUAACAGCAGCCUCCACUAGUUUGAUAUGUGUAGUAGAUGUACGUAACAAGUUCUCUUUUGUCUGGCGAACCAAGUCUAGUAUCUAAGUGGAGAAGGGUAGAUGGAUGGGCUCAUUAUCAUGAGUUUCAAAGUUGGUAACAACGGAUUUCUCGGUUCUUCCCAAAAGGAUCUUUAGUAGUGAUAUAAAGAAAAAACUACUCAUAGAUUGCCAAUGUGGUUGUAGCCACAUGAAUUCAAUUUGGGAAGUUUACUGCCGGUUUUUGUUCUGAUGUCGAAGUAUCUGCUUAUCGAACUUCUUACAUUUUCCAUGCUAGUUGUAAUUCACUUGUUCUAGACUGUUGUAUGAGAAGGGGAGAAGAAGGAAAUGGCAUAGAAUUUAGCUUUUUCAAGAUGCGCUUCUCUAAAACCAGUUAUUUCUUCACUUUCCAGGCUCACUGCUUUGACUUCCAGCAGUUUGCGUCUAUAGGUGCAUACAAUAAACCACUAUAGUAUUCUCUUUUUCUGUUGUGUUUUGCGUACUUUUAGCCGAGGUUCUAUCGGAAACAACCUCUCUAUCUCCCAGGGCAGGGGUAAGGUCUCUGCGUAUGCACUACCCUCCCAAACCCCACUUGUGAGAAUUCACUGGGUUGUUGUUGUUAUGUUUAUAUAGUGCAACUUGUAUCUGAUGAUGUAAUUUGAUAGUCAACCUGUUAGAAAGAAGCUUACAAGGAUUUCAAUGCAUAAGAUGCGUCUUGUGAUGAAUGCUUGUGUUCCUUCUGAUAUGUCGAAAAAUUGUUCCUUUCUUGAGUUUCAUCAGACCUAGCAGCAUUGAAUGCUUGUGUUCUUUGGUCUAUCCUUACAAGUUCUCCUACAGUCCCCAAGUAAUAGACCAGGAUUUUCCUUUUUGAGCUUUUUUUUGGGUCCAUUUUGCUCUCCAACUCAGUGAGACUACUAUGCCCCAUUCCUUCAAACUGCUAUCACUUCCUCAGUCAAUACUAUAAUAUCUUGUUGUCUUAUUUUUAUGCAUUGUCUUCAUUUUUUUCCCUGUCUAAUCUUAUAGACGUUGUUCAGGAUUCAAAUUUUGGAUAGCUUAUCCUUAGAUCACAAGGCCCGAGAAACAACGGAUCGAUUACUCCUACUCCGAUGCUUCUAAGUUUUGAUGUUUCUGUUGAGGUAAAAGUAGCCUGCUUAAUCCGUUUCAUUUGCUGGUUUUACUUUGACCUUUUUUAUUGCUUUAUUAUCCAAAAGAGUAAUCCUUUAGAGUAGUUGAUACUGUUUGUUCUGGUAAAAAGUUCAUCGUUUUGUUGUUAAUGUGGACUUAGUAGAGAACCUGUGUUGAUUAUUUUAGUUUACUGCUUACAGUACUAUGCAAGAAUGCAACAAACUUCUUUGAGGCAAUGUAGUAAAGACAAAUAUAUCAGUACCAUCAACAAAAACCAAAAAAAUAACAACUGCGAUAUAAUAACCAGAAAAUAGAUGAAAAGACAAUAACAAUAACAAAUAAAUAAGACCCGAUACCAUGGAAAUAAUUGGUGCUAUGAUGUUUCCUCUUUUAUCAGCAUUGGUGGAAUCUUAGCAAAUUAAUAUAAGUGAUUGUAUUAGUGUAUAGAUCUAUGGUUCGUCAAGCAAUCUUCUUUGCCUUCCAUGAACUCAUCAAUUUGUCCAAUAGUACAGGGCUAAGGUUCUCUUCCCUGAAUUUUCACUGAUGGUUUUACCUUGUAUAUAUAUAUUAAAAACAACAACAACAACUACCUAGUUACUAACACUUAGUUACUAACAUAUAUAUAUAUUAAAAAGAUUCACUAAAUUAUAUACACCUAGUUACUAACACUUGAUGUCGCAAUACUAGGAUUUAGAACCCAUAUAGUUCAAAUCCUGGCUUCACCCCUCUUUGAUUGUUUAGGGCCUUCAAUCCAAACCAAGAUCGUAUUCUUCUAUUCAUGUUUUCAUUUGCUCCAUAUUAAUUUAACUAGUGUUUUAUAUUCUGCAACAGAUUUUUCUGCAGAGUUAUUUAGGAAAGUUACUGUCUUCAUGAGAGGAGAAAGCUGGAGCCUGAUCUUGCAAUAAUAUCACUGCUUCUUAAUUGUAGUAGAAACUACUAAAAUGUACCAGUGAAUCACCUUAGAAAUUACUACAACUUAAAUUUUUUAUUUUUU